AGAAACUCAUCAGUCUUGAUUUCCAACAUGAGAUUCUUUUCUGCCUGAAUUUCACUGGGACAUGUGUGAUUUCUCAGCACUUCCUGCAGAUGCUCGGCUUAGAUGGCUCUGAGGCCAGAAAUGACUUCAUGGUCCUUUUGUCACAGGAACUAUCUAAAACAGAAAGGACUCAGUGACUCAAGAGACCAGAAGCAGAGGCACCUAAAGGGCAGCCCAUUAAAGGUUGAUUUGGCUUCACAAUCAGUCAAGCCUUCUAACAACUCAUUUGAAAGAGUAAAUGUGCUGCCCAGAGAAAUUCACAGCUUUGCAUACUUUGAGAUAAGAGCACCUCACAGCCUUUGGAAAUGGUUCGCUGAGUAAAGGGUGGGCUGUCUGGAAAAUAAUGGAAAUUUCAAACUGAGGUGGCUACAUGACAGUGCAAGACAUUGUUGGGGUGAAAUGUGGACUGUGCUCUUUGGUAACUGGAAGGAAAUUCCCUAUGGAGCAAAUGCUACCUGAAACUGAGAUGUACCAUGAUUGACCUGAGUUAUUUGUCUACAUUUCUGUGAAAAUGAUCUUAAAAUCAUUUUCUCUGAUGUCUCCUAGAGUACUGCUGGGUUUGCUGACUCUCUCAAUUGGAAUGACUGAAAUUUAUUUUAAACUUAACUAUUUGUUCAAGCCUGCUAUUAUAUUACUUUAAGCUGUUAUUAAUUUGCCAGAGAAUGAUGUGUGGUUUGGACUGGGUGGUGCUGAUGUGGUUUGUCAUACAGGAUGCUAAAUGUAGGGCAGAAGCUUGGAAAGGAGAAAAAUGAGAAUGGUUUUUAAAAAGUGUCUGUUAAUAUUAUUGUGGCGUGAAUCAUGUGCCACAUGCUGCUACUAUCUGGAUAUUGUCCUUUUUUUUUAGAUUAUGAAAUCCAAAAAGUAGAAAGUGACAUAGAAAUAGAAAGAGCCACUAUAGAAUUUAAAAUCUAGAAGAAAAAGGAUAAUGUGUGAUAGUACAUAGUAGUUCUUUUAUCCCGA
rnacentral:lncRNA from 1 species